rnacentral:rRNA from 1 species
GACCUCAAAUCAGGUAGGACUACCCGCUGAACUUAAGCAUAUCAAUAAGCGGAGGAAAAGAAACUAACAAGGAUUCCCCUAGUAACUGCGAGUGAAGCGGGAAAAGCUCAAAUUUAAAAUCUGACAGUCUUUGGCUGUCCGAGUUGUAAUCUAGAGAAGUGUUAUCCGCGCUGGACCGUGUACAAGUCUCCUGGAAUGGAGCGUCAUAGAGGGUGAGAAUCCCGUCUUUGACACGGACUACCAGGGCUUUGUGAUGCGCUCUCAAAGAGUCGAGUUGUUUGGGAAUGCAGCUCAAAAUGGGUGGUAAAUUCCAUCUAAAGCUAAAUAUUGGCGAGAGACCGAUAGCGAACAAGUACCGUGAGGGAAAGAUGAAAAGAACUUUGGAAAGAGAGUUAAACAGUACGUGAAAUUGCUGAAAGGGAAACGCUUGAAGUCAGUCGCGUUGUCCAGGGAUCAACCUUGCUUUUGCUUGGUGCACUUUCUGGUUGACGGGUCAGCAUCAAUUUUGACCAUUGGAAAAAGAUUAAGGGAAUGUGGCAUCUUUGGAUGUGUUAUAGCCCUUGGUUGCAUACGAUGGUUGGGAUUGAGGAACUCAGCACGCCGCAAGGCCGGGUUUAACCACGUACCGUGCUAGAUGU